AACGCAAAUUGCACUCUCUGGUAUUCCGGGGAGUAUGCCUGUUUGAGGGUCGCUUAAUAAACAUCGAUUUUCAUUGCUUUUUUUAAAGUGAAUGUUUAUCGGAUUUGAGCCGUCUUUUUUUAUAUAUAUAUAUUUACAUAUUUAUUUAAAAAGUGGCUUAAAAUUGAUUUUUCUGGUAUGAUCAAAGCGUAUUUUAUGAUCAAUUUUUGGUUAAGGAAACGCACACGUACCACAAUCAUUCAUAUGAUGUAAUACGUUUGACUAUUGGAUUUUUAGUUCAUUCGUAUACGAUAUUUUUCAAAUUUUGACCUCAAAUCAGGUAAGAACACCCGCUGAACUUAA
rnacentral:misc_RNA from 1 species